CCUGUAUCCUGUUCUGAAGAUGAAGGAAGCUCCAAGAUGGACUCCAUCAAGAUGCUCAACUCUCAGUUGAGAAAUGUAAGGCUUCCAACCAGAGGGUAAAAUUUUCUGAAAAGGAAAGGUUUUGUCUAGAGCAGAAUUUCCCUAGGAAGACAAAGUCCUUCCAUCUGAUAAGAAGCAUGCACUUACAGCCUUGCUCAGCUUUUCUGAAAUCAUUUAUGACUUUAGUCCUUCAGGAUGCAACACCUUCACUCAGAUCCUAAACAGAAGUAGGACUUCAGUGACUUAAAAUUAGUGCUUUAACUGCUACUUGCUUGGGACAUGGCUUGGUCAUUCUGUGACUGUCAGUCUGUUUAGGAAAAACAAGGACAGACCUGUGGAACAAUGGACCAUGCCAGGAAACUUGAUAAGGUAGAGCAGGUCUGAGACCCUGGAAACUUGGGUACAUACACCUGAGUCCCUGCCAGAUUCCGGGCCUGGAACAUGUGCCACACUUCCCACACAAUCCCUCGGACUUCUAUUCAAUUUCAUGCACUGACAAAUGCUAUGAUAAAUGGAUUUCAUGAUAGAAUAUGCCUACCAUGCAGGGUUUUAGAUUCCCAGCCAAAGUGUGAAUCUUACAGAACCCAAAGCAAGAAAGCCCACUCUGCCUUUCCACGAUUAAGCAAGCAAACAGCAUCCUCAAACAGGUAAGGGAACCUCCUGCCUUUCUUUCAGUUGAGAAAAUAUUAGCAGAAAGGGUUUUUCACUUGAGCCUUGAAAAGGCGCUCUAAUGAAGAGCUGUAAAGAGACAGUUUGACACUGCUUAUGAACAGACAAGUUAGCUUGCUGUUUGCAUGGAUGCUGGGGAAGACAUAUGACUUCUAGCCAGGGAUAAAGGCCUUUGCUAAUCACAGCAAUAGUAGCAGACAAGAGUAUGAGCAUCGAUCCUUCUCCAGCUCUGAGCCUCAACUCCGUCAGGGUGCCAUGAUCACGAAGAGAGCCUCAUGCUCACUGUGUAGGAGAGACCCAAAGCUAUGGGUCUUGAACAUUUUACUUUGGACAUUUUGUGCCUGCCCUCUGCUCUAGAGAGAAGAAACAGUCUUCCAAUGAAGACCUUAAACAAAGGAGGUAAGUGUCUCUGCUUGUACAGAAACUCGGAGGAAUGAAGGGAAACUGUUAUCAGUACUUGAGUCUCUCAUCAGCAUCAUGUCCCU
rnacentral:lncRNA from 1 species